ACUUAAAUUGAAGAGUUUGAUCAUGGCUCAGAUUGAACGCUGGCGGCAGGCCUAACACAUGCAAGUCGAGCGGUAGCACAGAGAGCUUGCUCUCGGGUGACGAGCGGCGGACGGGUGAGUAAUGUCUGGGAAACUGCCUGAUGGAGGGGGAUAACUACUGGAAACGGUAGCUAAUACCGCAUAACGUCGCAAGACCAAAGUGGGGGACCUU
rnacentral:rRNA from 1 species